UACGUAGGGUGCAAGCGUUAAUCGGAAUUACUGGGCGUAAAGCGUGCGCAGGCGGUUAUGCAAGACAGAUGUGAAAUCCCCGGGCCCAACCUGGGAAUUGCGCUUGUGACUGGCGUGCUGGAGUGUGGCAGAGGGAGGUGGAAUUCCACGUGUAGCAGUGAAAUGCGUAGAGAUGUGGAGGAACACCGAUGGCGAAGGCAGCCUCCUGGGCCAGCACUGACGCUCAUGCACGAAAGCGUGGGGAGCAAACAGG
rnacentral:rRNA from 1 species